CCUACGGGGGGCAGCAGUGAGGAAUAUUGGUCAAUGGGCGGAAGCCUGAACCAGCCAAGUCGCGUGAGGGAAUAAGGCCCUACGGGUCGUAAACCUCUUUUGCCGGGGAGCAGGGGCGGGGACGUGUCCCGGCCCGGGGAGUACCCGGAGAAAAAGCAUCGGCUAACUCCGUGCCAGCAGCCGCGGUAAUACGGAGGAUGCGAGCGUUGUCCGGAAUUACUGGGGGGAAAGGG
rnacentral:rRNA from 1 species